AGAGCCACGGCUGCUGUGAUCAUGAAGUAGGAUUACCAGAGCCAUCAAAGAAAAAGCACAUAUUCUUCUAUGUGUUGGCCAAAGACAUCAACCAGUCUCAGGAUACUAAAAGAUCUAUUACAGAAUGAGAAUAUUGAUUGCUUACCAGGCACCAGGCACUGCUCUAAGCAAUUUACAUGGAAUGCAAAGAGAAAGAAUGCAAAGAGUUUGCUUAGCCUGCAACUGAUCCACCCUGCUGGCAGACCGGUAAUGAAGUAACAAAGGUCAGGAGGCAAAGCGUCUGCUCCAGGAGGAGGUGAAACCACACAAAAGCAGCUCCGGACGGUCUAGGGAGCAAGACAGCUGGAAGCAUUCUACCAAAAACAGCUAUGCUGCUGUUAGCUCCAGCAGGGUACCUGGUGCCACCAGACCCUGGGCCUUUGAGGUUUCUGCAGAAUAGUUAGGUGGCUUCUUCACUUUCCCCACUGCUGGUUGGAAUUCAAAAUUUUCAAGGCUGAGAAGUCAGUUUCCUGCUGCCCAUCUGCUUGCCAGCCCCGAAACUUUAUUGAUCUCGUCUCCACGGCUGUUCUGUUUGUUCUAAAGCCUUUUAAAAAGUAUCUUUAAAAUUCCUUUAUCAUCAUUCUAGAAGGAUGGAGGAGGGAGGGAUAGAGAGAAGGAAGCAAUGAGGGAAGGAGGAAGGGAGAGAGGUUAAAGUUAAUGGAUACGUUUAAUCUUCCAUCUUUAACUACAAUGAUGCAAAUUUUUCAUCUGAAGAUGUGUACCUUGAUUCAGUUCUGGAAGAUUCUUAGCUAUUAUCUCUUCAAAUCUUGCUUCUCUGCUGAGUUGUUUUUUCUCUUCCUACAGUAACAAGUCACAUAAACAUAGCAGCUUAAGACAAUGCAAAUUUAUUAUCUCAUAGUUCUGUAGGUCGGAAGUCCAAGUGGGCUCUGCUGUCAAAAUCAAGGUGUCAGCAGUCUGAGUUUUCACCUGGAGGUAAGAAAAUAGAGGAAGAAAUCUGCUUCCUCGUCCAUUUCAGUUGUCGGCAGGCACUCAGGUCCCCGUUCCUGGGGCUGAGGUUCACGGGUCCCUGCGGGCUGUUAGCCUCCUUCAGCUCUCCUGGGAUCCCCGCACUCAUCACAUGCAUGCACCCACCAUCCUCAGACCACCAACAGCUGUCAAGUCCUGUUCACACCUGUUUGCUUUUAAGGGUUUGUGCAAAUACAUUGGGCCCACCUGAAAAAUUUAGGACAAUCUGCCUAUUUUUAGGCUUUUAACAACCUUAAUUACAUCUGUAAAUUCCCUCUUGCCAAAUAAUAUAACAUAUUCAUAGGUACCAGAAAUUUGGGUGUGGACAUCUUUGGUGGGAAGGUCUGUCUGCCAUAGCUGCUAUUCCCUGCUGUGCCUCUUUAGAGUCUCUCAAGUUAGUGUUUGUAUUUCUUAAUUGUGUUCUAAAUAUAUUUGUCUGCAAAGAAAUGGGUUCUAGGUAAAUUCUCUGAUUCUUUUAACUAUAAUCUACAUUUCAUUCCACUUAAUAAUGUAAAGUUUUUGAUGACUAUAAUUUUAAUUUCCAGAUUUUCUGACUGCUUCCCUCUCAUAUGCAUCUGUUCUUGUUUCAUUUAACAAUUCUUGUUCUUGCUAAUGGAAGUUACUUCUUCCGUCUAUCUAGACCAGUGGCUCUCAACCGGGAGUGGUUUUGCCUCCCAGGGGACAGUCGGCAGUAUCUGGAGAGAUCUUUGAUUGUCACAACUUGGUGGGUGGUACUGGCAUCUCGUGGACGGA